UACGUAGGGUGCGAGCGUUGUCCGGAAUUACUGGGCGUAAAGAGCUCGUAGGUGGUUUGUCGCGUUGUUCCGUGAAAACUCACAGCUUAACUGUGGGCGUGCGGGCGAUACGGGCAGACUGGAGUACUGCAGGGGAGACUGGAAUUCCUGGUGUAGCGGUGGAAUGCGCAGAUAUCAGGAGGAACACCGGUGGCGAAGGCGGGUCUCUGGGCAGUAACUGACGCUGAGGAGCGAAAGCGUGGGGAGCGAACAGG
rnacentral:rRNA from 1 species